CCUACGGGUGGCUGCAGUGGGGAAUAUUGGACAAUGGGGGCAACCCUGAUCCAGCCAUGCCGCGUGUGUGAAGAAGGCCCUCGGGUUGUAAAGCACUUUCAGUGAGGAAGAACGCCUGGUGGUUAAUACCCAUCAGGAAAGACAUCACUCACAGAAGAAGCACCGGCUAACUCCGUGCCAGCAGCCGCGGUAAUACGGAGGGUGCGAGCGUUAAUCGGAAUUACUGGGCGUAAAGCGCGCGUAGGUGGCUUGAUAAGCCGGUUGUGAAAGCCCCGGGCUCAACCUGGGAACGGCAUCCGGAACUGUCAAGCUAGAGUGCAGGAGAGGAAGGUAGAAUUCCCGGUGUAGCGGUGAAAUGCGUAGAGAUCGGGAGGAAUACCAGUGGCGAAGGCGGCCUUCUGGACUGACACUGACACUGAGGUGCGAAAGCGUGGGUAGAAAACAGGAUGAGAUACCCCAGUAGUC
rnacentral:rRNA from 1 species